GUUCUCGCUGAUGUGAAAGUCUAGCUGACAGAAGUGACUCCCACGACUACCAUAUUUAGAGGCAAUUUUCGUCGCGAUAAACGUCCACCAUCGCCCUGUCAUCCGAGUUUGUUUCAUUGGUCGAACAGGAGAUUCCCAAAGGCUGUCAGUCUCUUCCCGGUUCUCACGCUAAUCUGGAGAAACUCGCGGCUUAUUGUGUCGAGAACUUUGCCAGGGCAGUCGUGAGGAUUGAGUCUACUACCUGGUCAUCAUCUGUAUUUUCUCAACAAUAAUAUAACCUGCCAGACACUACCCCAGGCUGAUAAGAACAUAAGAAGAAUUCAGUAUAAGAAAAUAAGGAGUGUGCAAUAGGCUGGUUGGCCUGUGCAUGGCAACUCCUGUCGAAAGUUAAAACCACUCUCUAUCAUCUAUGAAUUUAUCUAGCUUUCUUUUAAAACUUUUCCAGCAACCCAGCACUUACUACAAAGUAGCUAAGUUUCUUCCUAUCUCCCUUCUAAACCUAAACUUAUCCGACUCAAAUCGUUGCUUCUCGUCCUAUCCUGCUCGGAUAUUAUAAGAACUUUAUCUAUACAGUAUCUCCUUUAUUGAUUCUUUUCACCCAGUUAAAUACUUCUAUCAUAUCUCACCGCACUCUUCGUCUUUCUAGGGAAUGCUAGUUUAGUUUCUUUAAUCUAUCUUGAUAUGAAAGGUUUCUCGGUCCCGGA